rnacentral:piRNA from 1 species
CACCUUCAAUGGAUGGUUUUCUGGGAUGA